rfam:Robinsoniella sp. RHS robin_c87, whole genome shotgun sequence.
UAGUCUAUUAGAAAACUGCCGAAGACAGUAGGUGCCGUAAGGCAUAAGGUGAAAACGCCUACCGAGGAGUAAUGAGUUCUAAUAAGAAUGAUUUAUGAAACCUCUUUGUCUUGUACAAAGAGGUUUUUUACGGCGGUAC